rnacentral:tRNA from 1 species
GCGGGGGUAGCCAAGCCUGGCCAACGGCGCUGGACUUAAGAUCCCGUCCUUAGUGGUUCGUGGGUUCAAAUCCCUCCCCCCGCACCA